ACCACUGAGCUAAAUAAUUUACAUUGAAUGUUGAGCUUCAAAGAGCUUUGUACAGAGUUUUGGGUAGAGAACUGUAGAUAGGGGGCGCCACUGAGCUAAAUAACUUAUUUUGAAUGUUAAGUUUUAAUUAGCUUCACAGUGUGUUUCAGGUAGAGAACUGUAGAUAGGGGGUACCACUGAGCUUUAUAAUUUUCUUUAAAUUUUGGACUUCAGUGUGCUUCACAGGGAGUGUCAGGUAGAGAACUGUAGAUAGGGGGCGCCACUGAGCUAAAUAAUUUAUAUUGAAUGUUGAGCUUCAAUGAGCUUCACAGAGAGGUUUAGGCAGAUAGCUGCAGACAGGGGGCGCCACUGAUCUUUAUAAUUUCCUUAAAAUGUUGGACUUCAAGAGCUUCACAGAGAGUUUCAGGUACAGACCUGCAGACAGGGG